rnacentral:rRNA from 2 species
CCUACGGGAGGCAGCAGUGGGGAAUAUUGCACAAUGGGCGAAAGCCUGAUGCAGCGACGCCGCGUGAGGGAUGACGGCCUUCGGGUUGUAAACCUCUUUCAGCAGGGAAGAAGCGAAAGUGACGGUACCUGCAGAAGAAGCGCCGGCUAACUACGUGCCAGCAGCCGCGGUAAU